rnacentral:rRNA from 1 species
UACAGGGGGUGCAAACGUUGCUCGGAAUUAUUGGGCGUAAAGGGCGCGUAGGCGGCUUGGCAAGUGGAUGGUGAAAUCCCUCGGCUUAACCGAGGAACUGCCGUCCAAACUGCUUCGCUUGAGACCGGGAGAGGUGAGUGGAAUUCCCAGUGUAGCGGUGAAAUGCGUAGAUAUUGGGAGGAACACCAGUGGCGAAGGCGGCUCACUGGACCGGUACUGACGCUGAUGCGCGAAAGCGUGGGGAGCAAACGGG